GUGCCAGCAGCCGCGGUAAGACGUUGAUCCCGGAAGCGUUACUGGUCAUGAUUAGGCGUAAAGAGUGGCUAGACGGCCGACGUAGUUAUUGGUUAAAACGGGAGGUUUGAUCAUGCUGCCAAUAAUACCGUUGUGCUUGGGGUGCGGUUGAGUUUUUCGGCACAUACACCUUAGCGAUAAAAUGCGAACAGGGUGUCACGGACAUUCCAGUGGCCUCGGCAGAUUACAGCCGCAUAUGCCGACGUCGAACCACUAUCGUAUGGAUUCCGAAGAGGAUUAGGGACCCUUGUAGCCCAUACUGUGAAUUUAUGAACAUUGAUCGACAGUAUUAAAAUGUCGAUUCAGCUAACGCGGAAAUGUUUCGCCUGGGUACUACGGUCGCAAGACUAAAAGCUAAUUAAAUUGGCGGGAGCCUGUAUAAAUAAUGGGGCACGUGGCUUAAUUCGACAAUACACGUAAAACCUUACCAGUGAAAGGCGGGUAUCGGCACCGAUGUGCGAUCGGUGUGUGGGUGCCGCCUCUAUUACAGUGCUGCAUGGCUGUCGAAAAUUCAUGCCGUGAGGUUUUGCGUUUGGUCGCAGAAUGAAUGCAAUCUAUGGUAUGUGUGUGUUCAAUUCGUUUGAUGGAUUUAUCGCACGUUUUGCGCAAUUUCACAUACUGGGGGGGAUUUGCACGGCCGCUUUCGGUGCAACCCCCCGAG
rnacentral:rRNA from 1 species